rnacentral:rRNA from 1 species
AGAGUUUGAUCCUGGCUCAGGACGAACGCUGGCGGCACGCUUAACACAUGCAAGUCGAACGAGAGAAGAGGAGCUUGCUUUUCUGAUCUAGUGGCGGACGGGUGAGUAACACGUGAGCAAUCUGCCUUUCAGAGGGGGAUACCGAUUGGAAACGAUCGUUAAUACCGCAUAACAUAAUUGAACCGCAUGAUUUGAUUAUCAAAGAUUUAUCGCUGAAAGAUGAGCUCGCGUCUGAUUAGCUAGUUGGUAAGGUAACGGCUUACCAAGGCGACGAUCAGUAGCCGGACUGAGAGGUUGAUCGGCCACAUUGGGACUGAGACACGGCCCAGACUCCUACGGGAGGCAGCAGUGGGGAAUCUUCCGCAAUGGGCGAAAGCCUGACGGAGCAAUGCCGCGUGAGUGAUGAAGGAAUUCGUUCCGUAAAGCUCUUUUGUUUAUGACGAAUGUGCAGAUUGUGAAUAAUGAUCUGUAAUGACGGUAGUAAACGAAUAAGCCACGGCUAACUACGUGCCAGCAGCCGCGGUAAUACGUAGGUGGCGAGCGUUAUCCGGAAUUAUUGGGCGUAAAGAGGGAGCAGGCGGCACUAAGGGUCUGUGGUGAAAGAUCGAAGCUUAACUUCGGUAAGCCAUGGAAACCGUAGAGCUAGAGUGUGUGAGAGGAUCGUGGAAUUCCAUGUGUAGCGGUGAAAUGCGUAGAUAUAUGGAGGAACACCAGUGGCGAAGGCGACGAUCUGGCGCAUAACUGACGCUCAGUCCCGAAAGCGUGGGGAGCAAAUAGGAUUAGAUACCCUAGUAGUCCACGCCGUAAACGAUGAGUACUAAGUGUUGGGAGUCAAAUCUCAGUGCUGCAGUUAACGCAAUAAGUACUCCGCCUGAGUAGUACGUUCGCAAGAAUGAAACUCAAAGGAAUUGACGGGGGCCCGCACAAGCGGUGGAGCAUGUGGUUUAAUUCGAAGCAACGCGAAGAACCUUA